GUACCUCUAAAUUGUACUUAAGUAUAGUACUUGAGUAAAUGCACUUUGUUACUUUCCACCACUGUACUAGUACUACAGUACUGUAUCAUUUUAGGUUGCUUAAUGUGUAGUAAUGCAUCAUAUCUCAAGUACAAGUAGAAUAUUUUAAUUUUGUCGACAAAUCCCGUGAAAAGACCAAAACCAACAGUGACCGUAUGUACUAACAAGUAUCUACUAUCAAAUACUCUAUUACAAGUAAAAGUAUGCAAGUAUUAAUGAGCGAAAUGCACUUAAAAUAUCCAAAGUAAAAGUACUCAUUAUGGAGAAAAUGGCUCCUGUCCAGGUUACUAACACUCACAACGUAGCUAUAUUAUUGCAUUAUUAUUUCUGAUGCAUUCGUGUGUAAGCUGUAUUUUACUGUUGUAGCUGGUGGAGGUAGUUUUAACUUUUUUUAUUUGUUGUCGGAUAGUUGAAUCUAUAAUAAAUGCAUCAUAAUUUAUAAGAUCAUCAAGUGUUUUGUUUGUAAAAUCUUAACCUGUAAACUAAAGAGCUCUUGUAGUGGCGUAAAUUUACUCAUUUACUUUCCACCACUGUAUAAAAUAACAACACUCACAGCGGCCAUUUCUUUUACUUACUUCUAUUAACAAUACAUUUUUAAUGCAUAAGCUUUUAAUUGAGUGAUUCAACAGUGUGGUUUUGCUUUUACUUAAGUAAAGGAUCUGAGUACUUCACCGCUUUAUGCAUCAUAUCCCAUCUACAUUUACCAUGUAAAAUGUUGCAGUUACUGUCAAAUGUUGUGCAAUAAAAUGUACAAUAUUUCCUUUUAAAAAUUCGUGGAAGUAUAAAGUAGCCAAUUCAGUGGAAAUAUAGUAAGAAAAAAUGUACUUAGUUACUUUCUGCCACAGUCAACAACAAACUCUCACAACAGAGACUCUUUCAAUGUGUUUAUUCUGUGCAACUUUUCAUUUUUCAGUACAUUUUCAGUAAAUUGAUCAAACAUUCAGCUCGGCACACGGUGACUGGAAAAAAAACAAAACGUUAAAGACCUCGUGAAAACAAUAAUGAGUUGUUUUUACACGUGAAGUGAUGGAGAAGUCAACCCUGGCUCAUACAAAAUAUCUGCACCAAAACAGACUAGCCUACAGUCUGGUUGUUCAGAUAAAUAGUGCCUUGCUCAGGCGCAUGCUGACAGCCGUUACAGUGUUCAGCUGCUGUCUAUUUUCCGUCCAUAUUUCCUGUUUAAUCAGCCACACACUCUAAUUUCUGUUUCAUGAGGUCUUUAAGUCAUUUUCCUUCCUCUCACACUUGAUUUAUUUCUGUUUUCUCUCCACAGAUGCUAUUUACAUUCUGAUAAUAUAGAUCUCAACAGUUCCGUGAAAGCAGCAUCUGCACACAGUUUCAUGAGGAGGAGCGGAGCAUUGGUGGAGUACCAGCAGUGUGUGUUAGGGUUUCCUCCAGGUCAGAGGAGGGAUGGCAGCGCAGUAAGAAUCGUUGGGCUCACAGUCAGCAGAGAGAGCUGGCGCUUUCCUCUCCUCGCUGUCUGACUCGUCUACCGUCAGUGUGAUGGGUGAGGUGGACUUCCUGUUGACGGAGGAAAAAUGAGAUUAAUGUUGUCACACUGUCUGCUGCAGUGGUUCUGUGGCCUUGACAUUUCAUUUUAAUCCACAGGCAGACCUAGCCACAGCACUAAGCAUGUUUUCCUGAAAGAUGAAUCCCUGGUGAUCUUUAAAAGCCAGAUUUAACAUUUACUCUGUAGGCAAAACAUUCUCACCACAAGGUUCGUCCAGUAGCUGUUCUGGAGCUUUCAAUUCAGAUGUCGUUCUGUUCCAAAGGUCAAUAAUUAACUUUCAAUCUUAACAUGGACAAAAACUUUAAAGUGCUCAGAAAAUUAGAUAUUAACAUCUAUAAUUGAACUAGCCAACUCCAUCUGCUGAGGAAGAUAGUGUGAUAUGAUCAAAAGCUCUAGAACAGCUACUAAAACAAGAAUUAACUUUGAAUGCAUUUCUAAAAGACCAUUUACCAAGUUGCAACUGUUUCCUAAUCCAAAAAGAUGGUCGCCAGACAUUAAGUAUCUAUUUGUACAAGGAGCCAGGAUGUAAAUCACUUCUUUUUUUGUCUAUGCAUGUCUUAUAUUUUUCUGCUCUGCAAAAUGAGCAAGGAGAUCACUUCCAGCAGCUAUUUUUGUUUGGAUUAAAAAAUAGUCACAACUUGGGGAAAUAUGUUCAAAUAUUUUUUACUCAGAUGGCCAGAAAGAGUCUUUAAAGAUUUUGGAAAUACCUUAAACAAUCUUCUGGGUUUUUCAGAGAUUUACAUUUCAGUAAAAAAAAAAAACCAGAUGCUUAGCUCUGUGACUCGAAUGUAAUAAUGGUAAUACACUGGGGCUAGCCUUGACCCCCAUCUCUUAGUGUUUGUAGCCUGAUGAAGAAGGAUUUUCUGUCAGCACGACUACACUGUAAGAAAUGAAGGGACGGUUACAGCGACCAAUAGACCUUUUUCACAGCAGACCUUUUGACUUGUCAUAGCAGGAAAAGCACAGGUGUAACUGAUUCCAUUAAAGUGUCCCAGUAAGCAAAGCCUUGGUUAGGAACAUGGAAUGCAGCCAUCAUUAAUGUAUUAAUUACACCUGUGCUUGUCCUGCUAUGACAAGUCAAAAUGUCUGCCUUGAAAAAAGCAGACACUAUCCUUUUAAGUUAUUUAUUAUGUACUUACUACUUAUCUUUUUUUGUACCUGUAAAACAAAUUU